rnacentral:lncRNA from 1 species
GCACACACCAGAGCAGAAAGGCAACGUCUCCCACCUAAGGUGUCGCAGUGGCCCUUCGGGAUCCCCAGUUGUCUGAGGCUCCCAGACUGCCUUCUCUUCUGUCCAGGGUUUAAGUAGUAGAAGACCUGUGCCUGGCAGUGACCUCUGACCUUUCCCUUAGCACCUGGCCACAUUCAUCAUGGACAAGAGUGAGGCUAUCGCCACAGUGGAUGAUGCCAUCCGGAAGCUGGUGCAGCUGAGCUCCAAGGAGAAGGUCUGGGCCCAGGAAGUCCUGCUGCAGGUGAACGACAAGUCACUGCGACUGCUGGAUGUUGAGUCUCAGGAAGAGCUGGAGAACUUUCCGCUGCCCACUGUGCAGCACAGCCAGACAGUGCUAAACCAGUUGCGCUACCCCUCGGUGCUGCUGCUGGUGUGCCAGGACUCAGACCAGAACAAGCCCGACAUCCACUUCUUUCACUGUGACGAGGUGGAGGCCGACCUGGUGCAGGAAGACAUUGAGAGUGCUCUGGCUGACUACCGGCUGGGGAAAAAGAUGCGGCCACAGACCCUAAAGGGACACCAGGAGAAGAUCCGUCAGCGGCAGUCUAUCUUGCCCCCUCCACAGAGCCCAGCCCCCAUCCCCUUCCAGCGACAGCCUGGAGAUUCCCCUCAGGCCAAGAACCGCGUGGGCCUGCCACUGCCCGCAUCAUUCAGUGAGCCAGGCUAUCGACGUAGGGAAUCCCAGGACGAGGAACCGCGGGCUGUGCUGGCUCAGAGAAUAGAGAA